AAGAAGCAGGAAACCAGGAUUGCAAGGUGCUGGCCAAGCAGGGAGAAGUGCUCCAUCACUUUGCUUGGCCAAUGCACUAGCCCAAGGGACUGUAAUCUCAGUGCACUAGCAAAACCACUCCCCAUUUUCUUGAAUCCCCUGUUUCUGCUUAUGGACCUUUUCGAUGUGGGAAUCUCUGAGGUUGGAGCCAACUCUUGUUAUCUUUGUGGUUUUGUCCCACCUCACAGGCAGCAGUUAUCCGGCAGCUUGUUACAAAGCAUUGAGAGGCCACUCCUGAACUUGUCUCAGGUGCACACAACCCUCUGUCCCACACUGUAUCAUCAGAGAACUUAUCACAAAGAGCAGUAAUGUCUUCUCUUGCUCACAAACACUCAAAGGACCCCUACUGAAUGUUACAAUGUUAUCUAGGAUCAAGCUAGACAGAACAAGUGUUCCAAUUUUUUAUUGCUCUGUAAGCAAACUCUCCUCAAAUGUAUUAAUUCAAAAUAACAAUUUGUUUCUCUCCCAUGAUUCUGGGAUUGCUGGGCUCAGCUGGGUGGUUCUUGCUUGGCAUCCCUCACAUGGUCGCAGCCAAAAGGAGUCGUCUGAAGGCUUGGUCCUUCACAUGUCUGGUGCCUUGGCUGGGAUGGCUGAAUCAGCUGGGGACUGGUCAGCUCUCUCUCUCUUUACACGGCCUCUCCACAUGGCCAGCUUGGGCUUCCUCACAGCGCUGUGGUCAUUGUGCAGGCAUGCUUCUUACAAGGCCACUGGCUUCCCUAGAAGACAGGAAGUGGAAGCUGCUAGUCUCUUAAGGCCUGGCCUGGAAACUGUCACUUCCACCAUGUUCUGUUGAUCACAGCAGUUGCAGAGAUAAUAUAGACUCCCAUCUCUCGAUGGGAUGAGUGUCAAAGAAUUUGUGGCCAUCUCUAAUCUGUCCCAAAUCUACUGCCCCUUCCAUAUGAGAACACUUAAUGUAAAUAAAGACUGCAAACAUGUCUUUAUUCAGUUUUUGCUUUGCAGGCCAUACUCACCAGUUUCUUUAACCUUCAGAUCACUCACAUUCUUCCCAAACCCCAUAGGUAGUCCAAGUCGCCAGAGUCCCCCUUAAGAUGUGGCACCCAGGACCUGAUUCAUUAUCCAAGGGCAAUUGGCCCUGAGCCAAUCCUCUUUUUGCUGAGGAAGACUGGCCCAGAGCUAACAUCCAUGCCCAUCUUCCUCUACUUUAUAUGUGGGACGCCUACCACAGCAUGGCUUGCCAAGCGGUGCCAUGUCCGCACCCAGGAUCCAAACCAGUGAACCCAGGGCCGCCGAAGUAGAACAUGCGAACUUAACCACUGUGCCACCAAGCCAGCCCCCAAAGUAAAUUUCUUACAUGAAGGAAAUAAUCUGGUCUGAGGAUGGAACGUUUAACCCACUAUAAUUCUAUUAUGGUAGUCAACUGGCAUUCUGGGCUGGACAACAGUCCUUUGUGGCCUUGAUUAGUGAGAGUCCAUGCCUGAGAUACGGACUCACUCUUGGUGGAAUAAAACAAAAUCACAUUUCAGCACCUGCAAGUCUGUGGAUGAUAUCCUAGUUCUGUGGUGAAUAACAAUGUCAAUCCAUAGCACUUAUGAAGCACCAUUUCAGUUAUCUGUUGCUGUGUAACAAAUUACCACCUAGCGGCUUAAUUCAAGAACAAUCAUUUUAUUAUUACCCCCUGUGUCUGUGGAUCAGUAAUUUGGGAAGAUGUAGUUGAACAGUUCUGGCUUGGAUUGUGGUUAAACAAUGACUGGAGCAGCUAAAGAUUGAUUGGCAUCUCUCUCUCUUCAUGUAGACUCAGAACCUCUCCAUUUGCUCUCUCCAUGUGGGCGGCUUAGAGCUUCCUCACAAUAUGGUGUCCACAGGGCUCCAAAAACAAGAUUCUCAGUGAACCAGGUAGAAGCCCUGGCAACUGUUCUGAUCUUGCCUCAGAAGUCACAUCACUUCCAAUUGCUCUAUUUGUUAAAAGUGAGUCACGGGCCCACCCAGAUUCAAAGGGAGGGGAAGUAGAUUCCACCUCUCGAUGAGAAAAGCGUCAAGAUUCUAAGGAGUGUGUGUGAUGGGAGAUAAUGUGGUUUUCUUUGGAAAAUAAAACUUGUUACAAGCA
ensembl:lncRNA